rnacentral:lncRNA from 1 species
CUUUCCUAGGAGCCAUUUCAGCUCUCUGGUCUCUAUCACAGGCAGCUAUCCUUAAAUCAAGGUCUUACUAAGCUCCUGCAUCCUUCCCCUUCCUUUGAUCAGGAAGCAGGUGAAUAUUUUCUUGAUGUAAAAGGUAAAUUUUUCACAGUGUGAUAUGCUUUUGAGCUAUUAAUAAUAUAUCAAUCCUCA